GAUGAACGCUGGCGGCGUGCUUAACACAUGCAAGUCGAACGAAGCAUUUGCGACAGAUUUUUUCGGAAUGAAGUUGCUUAUGACUGAGUGGCGGACGGGUGAGUAACGCGUGGGUAACCUGCCUUGUACUGGGGGAUAGCAGCUGGAAACGGCUGGUAAUACCGCAUAAGCGCACAAUGUUGCAUGACAUGGUGUGAAAAACUCCGGUGGUAUAAGAUGGACCCGCGUCUGAUUAGCUAGUUGGUGAGAUAACAGCCCACCAAGGCGACGAUCAGUAGCCGACCUGAGAGGGUGACCGGCCACAUUGGGACUGAGACACGGCCCAGACUCCUACGGGAGGCAGCAGUGGGGAAUAUUGCACAAUGGAGGAAACUCUGAUGCAGCGACGCCGCGUGAGUGAAGAAGUAAUUCGUUAUGUAAAGCUCUAUCAGCAGGGAAGAUAGUGACGGUACCUGACUAAGAAGCUCCGGCUAAAUACGU
rnacentral:rRNA from 1 species